rnacentral:rRNA from 1 species
CGAGCGAAUGACGAGAAGCUUGCUUCUCUGAUUUAGCGGCGGACGGGUGAGUAACACGUGGGCAACCUGCCCUACAGAUCGGGAUAACUCAGGGAAACCUGGGCUAAUACCGGAUAAUCCUUCGAAUCACAUGUUUUGAAGUUGAAAGGCGCUUCGGCGCCACUGUAGGAUGGGCCCGCGGUGCAUUAGCUAGUUGGUGGGGUAACGGCCUACCAAGGCAACGAUGCAUAGCCGACCUGAGAGGGUGAUCGGCCACAUUGGGACUGAGACACGGCCCAAACUCCUACGGGAGGCAGCAGUAGGGAAUCUUCCACAAUGGACGAAAGUCUGAUGGAGCAACGCCGCGUGAGUGAUGAAGGUUUUCGGAUCGUAAAACUCUGUUGUAAGGGAAGAAUAAGUACGUUAGGAAAUGAACGUACCUUGACGGUACCUUAUUAGAAAGCCACGGCUAACUACGUGCCAGCAGCCGCGGUAAUACGUAGGUGGCAAGCGUUGUCCGGAUUUAUUGGGCGUAAAGCGCGCGCAGGUGGUUUCUUAAGUCUGAUGUGAAAGCCCACGGCUCA